GCCUGAUGGAGGGGGAUAACUACUGGAAACGGUAGCUAAUACCGCAUAAUGUCGCAAGACCAAAGAGGGGGACCUUCGGGCCUCUUGCCAUCGGAUGUGCCCAGAUGGGAUUAGCUUGUUGGUGGGGUAACGGCUCACCAAGGCGACGAUCCCUAGCUGGUCUGAGAGGAUGACCAGCCACACUGGAACUGAGACACGGUCCAGACUCCUACGGGAGGCAGCAGUGGGGAAUAUUGCACAAUGGGCGCAAGCCUGAUGCAGCCAUGCCGCGUGUAUGAAGAAGGCCUUCGGGUUGUAAAGUACUUUCAGCGGGGAGGAAGGGAGUAAAGUUAAUACCUUUGCUCAUUGACGUUACCCGCAGAAGAAGCACCGGCUAACUCCGUGCCAGCAGCCGCGGUAAUACGGAGGGUGCAAGCGUUAAUCGGAAUUACUGGGCGUAAAGCGCACGCAGGCGGUUUGUUAAGUCAGAUGUGAAAUCCCCGGGCUCAACCUGGGAACUGCAUCUGAUACUGGCAAGCUUGAGUCUCGUAGAGGGGGGUAGAAUUCCAGGUGUAGCGGUGAAAUGCGUAGAGAUCUGGAGGAAUACCGGUGGCGAAGGCGGCCCCCUGGACGAAGACUGACGCUCAGGUGCGAAAGCGUGGGGAGCAAACAGGAUUAGAUACCCUGGUAGUCCACGCCGUAAACGAUGUCGACUUGGAGGUUGUGCCCUUGAGGCGUGGCUUCCGGAGCUAACGCGUUAAGUCGACCGCCUGGGGAGUACGGCCGCAAGGUUAAAACUCAAAUGAAUUGACGGGGGCCCGCACAAGCGGUGGAGCAUGUGGUUUAAUUCGAUGCAACGCGAAGAACCUUACCUGGUCUUGACAUCCACAGAACUUUCCAGAGAUGGAUUGGUGCCUUCGGGAACUGUGAGACAGGUGCUGCAUGGCUGUCGUCAGCUCGUGUUGUGAAAUGUUGGGUUAAGUCCCGCAACGAGCGCAACCCUUAUCCUUUGUUGCCAGCGGUCCGGCCGGGAACUCAAAGGAGACUGCCAGUGAUAAACUGGAGGAAGGUGGGGAUGACGUCAAGUCAUCAUGGCCCUUACGACCAGGGCUACACACGUGCUACAAUGGCGCAUACAAAGAGAAGCGACCUCGCGAGAGCAAGCGGACCUCAUAAAGUGCGUCGUAGUCCGGAUUGGAGUCUGCAACUCGACUCCAUGAAGUCGGAAUCGCUAGUAAUCGUGGAUCAGAAUGCCACGGUGAAUACGUUCCCGGGCCUUGUACACACCGCCCGUCACACCAUGGGAGUGGGUUGCAAAAGAAGUAGGUAGCUUAACCUUCGGGAGGGCGCUUACCACUUUGUGAUUCAUGACUGGGGUGAAGUCGUAACAAGGUAACCGUAGGGGAACCUGCGGUUGGAUCACCUCCUUACCUUAAAGAAGC
rnacentral:rRNA from 1 species